GAUGAACGCUGGCGGCGUGCCUAAUACAUGCAAGUCGAGCGAACAGAUGAGGAGCUUGCUCCUCUGACGUUAGCGGCGGACGGGUGAGUAACACGUGGAUAACCUACCUAUAAGACUGGGAUAACUUCGGGAAACCGGAGCUAAUACCGGAUAAUAUAUUGAACCGCAUGGUUCAAUAGUGAAAGACGGUUUUGCUGUCACUUAUAGAUGGAUCCGCGCCGCAUUAGCUAGUUGGUAAGGUAACGGCUUACCAAGGCAACGAUGCGUAGCCGACCUGAGAGGGUGAUCGGCCACACUGGAACUGAGACACGGUCCAGACUCCUACGGGAGGCAGCAGUAGGGACUCUUCCGCAAUGGGCGAAAGCCUGACGGAGCAACGCCGCGUGAGUGCUGAAGGUCUUCGGAUCGUAAAACUCUGUUAUUAGGGAAGAGCAAAUGUGUAAGUAACUAUGCACGUCUUGACGGUACCUAAUCAGAAAGCCACGGCUAACUACGUG
rnacentral:rRNA from 1 species